rnacentral:rRNA from 1 species
GAUGAACGCUGGCGGCGUGCCUAAUACAUGCAAGUCGAGCGAACAGAUGAGAAGCUUGCUUCUCUGAUGUUAGCGGCGGACGGGUGAGUAACACGUGGGUAACCUACCUAUAAGACUGGGAUAACUCCGGGAAACCGGGGCUAAUACCGGAUAAUAUUUUGAACCGCAUGGUUCAAUAGUGAAAGACGGUUUCGGCUGUCACUUAUAGAUGGACCCGCGCCGUAUUAGCUAGUUGGUAAGGUAACGGCUUACCAAGGCGACGAUACGUAGCCGCCCUGGGAGGGUGAUCGGCCACACUGGAACUGAGACACGGGCCAGACUCCUACGGGAGGCAGCAGUAGGGAAUCUUCCGCAAUGGGCGAAAGCCUGACGGAGCAACGCCGCGUGAGUGAUGAAGGUCUUCGGAUCGUAAAACUCUGUUGUUAGGGAAGAACAAAUUUGUUAGUAACUGAACAAAUCUUGACGGUACCUAACCAGAAAGCCACGGCUACUACGUGCCAGCCGCCGCCGUAA